CGGCAGCGCGGAUAGCAAUAUCUGGCGGCGAGUGGCGCACGGGUGCGUAACGCGUAUGCAACCUACCUUUUACAGGGGUAUAGCUCGGAGAAAUCCGAAUUAACACCGCAUAAUAUUGCUUGAGGGCAUCUGAAGGCAAUUAAAUCUACGGAGGUAAAAGAUGGGCAUGCGUCCGAUUAGUUAGUUGGUGAGGUAACGGCUCACCAAGACGAUGAUCGGUAGGGGGUCUGAGAGGAUGAUCCCCCACACUGGUACUGAGAUACGGACCAGACUCCUACGGGAGGCAGCAGUAGGGAAUAUUGGGCAAUGGGCGCGAGCCUGACCCAGCCAUGCCGCGUGCAGGAAGAAGGCCUUAUGGGUUGUAAACUGCUUUUGAUUGGGAACAAAGAGGCCAUGCGUGGCAAGUUGAGUGUACCAAUAGAAUAAGCACCGGCUAACUCCGUGCCAGCAGCCGCGGUAAUACGGAGGGUGCAAGCGUUGUCCGGAUUUAUUGGGUUUAAAGGGUGCGUAGGCGGCUUUUUAAGUCAGUGGUGAAAUCCUGCAGCUUAACUGUAGAACAGCCAUUGAUACUGAAGAGCUUGAGUACAGACGAGGUAGGCGGAAUUUAUGGUGUAGCGGUGAAAUGCAUAGAUACCAUAAAGAACACCGAUUGCGAAGGCAGCUUACUAGACUGUCACUGACGCUGAGGCACGAAAGCGUGGGGAUCAAACAGGAUUAGAUACCCUGGUAGUCCACGCUGU
rnacentral:rRNA from 1 species